UCUCCGUAUGUGAACCUGCGGAGGGAUCAUUACUGAGUGAGGGCUCCGGCCCGACCUCCAACCCCAUGUGAACCGAAACCUGUUGCGUCGGGGGCGACCCUGCCGUUCGGCCCGGCGCCCCCGGAGGCUCAUCAAACACUGCAUCUUUGCGUCGGAGUUAAAGUAAAUUAAACAAAACUUUCAACAACGGAUCUCUUGGUUCCAGCACCGAUGAAGAACGCAGC
rnacentral:misc_RNA from 1 species